UGCGUUACGGCAAUACGUAAUUAGACGGAAAUAGCCGAGUGUCAUUACGCCUUUAAAGGAAUCUAAUACCUUUUCAGUAAGUAUUUUGAAUACAAUGAAAUAAAAAUUAUGAAACCUCAUUGGACAACUUACUUUAGAAUACGUUUGUUCCUCUGUUGAAGAGGACGGACUAAUUUGAUUUUUUUUCUUUUACUCUUCAGGCGUAAUUGCUUUCUAAAAUUCAUUAUUUAUAUGAUAUGAAUUGUAAUUUGGAUAUCUCGCUUUUUGUAAAGUAAAAAUAUUGUUUGGUAUCUGUUAGCUAAUACAUGCUCUAUUAUGUAUCUUUAACAGUUUUAUUCUGUGCAAACUUGGUCUGAAUAUUGGCAUAGGUUUUGUUUUUCGAAAGAAAGGCGCUGUUGAAGGCGCUAAGCCUGUUUAACCUGAUCGCGACGUCUGCUUCAUACCUAUUUAAGUUGUAUGGAAAUGUUUUAUCGUUUUUCUGAUAUUCUAAGACUGUUAGUGUCGCCACAAGUACCAAUGAAGCUUACGUUGUCAACGUCACAAAUAGUGGACCCAGCAUAGAGACGUAUUACAUCACAGCAUUUUACGUUUACGUUGCUGACGUCAAUAGGAUUAGGAAACGUGUCACCAAAUACUAACGCCGAGGAAAUAUUCUCAACAUUUGCUGUUCUGCUUGGUUGUAAAGAUGAUAUAUUUUGCGGUGUCACGGUGACCUAGAAUUGACGGGAAAAUCGCUCUACUUUGUACUUGCACUUAGAUCAUACUGUGAUAUAAACAAGACAGAGUCACAUAUGCUGAAAGAAACUCUGAAUACUUCACCAGAAUUUUCGGACAAAAAAAUCAUGGAUGAAUCACAAGGUCAAUUUUAAGCGGCUCGACAAAGUGGGCGAUCUAACUGGCGCAGAAGAAUGACUAGCACGGUACCGCAGAUUGGAGAUGAGCCGACAUUUAGCCUAUAGCAAUAUAAAUACAGCGUUCAAAGACAAAUCAGUGAAAAUUUUCAGCUAUUAAAACAGUGCCACAGUUCGUUUCCGGCGGAACUAACAUAUCAUUCUGGGAAACAUCAGACGAUGGGGCGCCCACUUGUAGUCGUCCACGUUCCUUGGAAGCUGAUGAUACAGCGCCACAUGUUAAGGUGAGACAAACGUCACUGUCAAGUCUCGUAGAAGUCGUCUGCAAACUAAAGUAUUAGCAAGACAAUGAUGAAAGCAGAUAUUCUAAAGACAGCCAGAUUACUACGCUAACUCCGUGUGAUGAUGCGCAUUCAAUAAUUUACAUAGUGUUGUGCAGCCGUACUACUUUUGUUAAUUGCUAUGUUCUUUCUGGUAGAACAUUAGCUACUGUGUAUUAUGCAAUCGUAUACUGGGAGCAACUACACUUGGACAAAAGCCACAGGUUUUAAAGAGUUUCCCGGAGUGCCUUCAAGCAAAUAUAUAACUUCAUUUGAACAGAAACUUGCUGAAUAAGUGCCCAGCGUUCCAGAAGGCAUUUACAGGAUAUCUUCGUGUCUUAUCUAUGCAGUACGCCCCCUGGUGACACAUUGCUACAUCCGGGUGAUAUACUGACAGCUCUCUAUCUGCAUGCGGUUCAUUGGAGAUUGUUACAGUAAAAUAUUUGGUACAGCGAUAUGAGAUGCUGAAGUGUUUCUUCGUUUGACACCAGCUAGACAAAGUGGGCGAUUUCCCUGCUAGCACGGGACCGCAGAUAGGAGAAGAUGAGCCGACCUCUAUGACAUUCUAAAUGCUCUGCAGCAAGCUUCUGGUGACACAAAUACAGCGUCCAAAGACAGAUCAGU